GAUGAAGAACGCAGCGAAAUGCGAUAAGUAAUGUGAAUUGCAGAAUUCAGUGAAUCAUCGAAUCUUUGAACGCACAUUGCGCCCGCUGGUAUUCCGGCGGGCAUGCCUGUUCGAGCGUCAUUUCAACCCUCAAGCUCUCCGGAGUUUGGUGUUGGGGCGCCUGGGGCUUUUCGACCUCAGGGCCCUCAAGUCCCUCGGCGGGACCGCCAGGACACUGAGCGCAGUAGUAUUAUUUCGCUCGGUAGGAUCUUCCACGGCGGGUCGAUCUGGCCGCUAAACCCCCCAAUUCUCACCAAAGGUUGACCUCGGAUCAGGUAGGAAUACCCGCUGAACUUAAGCAUAUCAAUAAGCGGAGGA
rnacentral:misc_RNA from 1 species